CACUGGUGGCGACCGGCGCACGGGUGAGUAACACGUGUGCAACCAACCCCGUACCGGGAGAUAACCCGCGGAAACGUGGACUAACAUCCCAUAAGACUCUAGAGCCGCAUGGCUCUGGAUUUAAAAUUCCGGUGGUACGGGACGGGCACGCGCGACAUUAGGUAGUUGGCGGGGUAACGGCCCACCAAGCCGACGAUGUCUAGGGGUUCUGAGAGGAAGGUCCCCCACACUGGAACUGAGACACGGUCCAG
rnacentral:rRNA from 1 species